AUAGUUUUAUUCUCUACUCAUUAGCAGAGCGGUUUUGUCCUUAGGAUGACCUGUGUGUUACAGGUUUGUCGUGUCUUUCCUGUGGAAUGUUGAGUCUAAAUGGUAUGUUAUACCAUUUAUUCCAAGUUUAAAUAGUAAAAUUUCGUAUCUAACUGAAAGUUUUGAGAACAGAAAAUGUCUCGAUAGAUGGAAUGAGGGUGCACACUCAUGACUUUUACCAGAGAUGAUUUUCCUUUCUUAAUUCUGAAGGUUUGGGGUAAGAAAGAGUUAGGGUUCCAGUGUCGUUUCUGAUAUAAAUUCCCGUCUUGUUCUUGCCUCUGUGGUAGUGUAUUAUGCUCUAUAGUGGUAGGGAAAUACAGAUUCAAGGACAACUUGACCUGUAUAUCUUCUUUAGAAUUGGUUUAAGCCUUUGAGACAAAUUCUUGCCUCGAAGAUAAGGAGUUAGAAGACCAUAAGUUAGGUUUCAAAAGAUGGGUGAAUAUAUAUUAGAGUUAAGAAGGGAAUGAGAAUUCUAAAGUGGACUAAGGUGAAUUAAUAUCUAGAAAGGGAAUAGAAGAAGAAGAGUUAAAGAAGCAGUUGUGUAAGACGUAGAGCAGGUUUAAGGAAUGUAUAUUUGAAGUCAAAAUUUUCUAAGUUGAGAGAACGUGAAGUCCUUGAAGAUAAUUGAAGUAUCAUAAGAGUUUUAAGUUAAGUGAUAAUUAGAAGGAGAUGGAUAGGUCUUAUCAACCAGUGGAUUUGGUAUAUCCAAGUUUAGAGUGAUGUUGCAAGAUUUGUGGUUCGUCUAGAAGAAAGGUUUGAGUAUCGGAUGAGAGGAAAUAUUUCCAGUAUUGAAGGAAGGGAUANAUCAAGAUGUCANUUUGGUAAGAAAAGGUGAGGAAUAGAGAAUUAAGAGCACGAUGANUGAGGAACAAAGAAGAAAGGUCUUAGAACAAAUAACAAAGUAUGGUUACAAUAUAAUUUGCUAUAGAGGGUAUCGAGAAUGAUCUGAGAAUCCGGGUUGAUUGAGACAAUCAGAGUUUUGAAGCGGCAUGUGGUAGUACAAUUAGUUUUCUUUGGGUGUGAUCUUAUGAUGAUGUUCAGGGAUCGACUGAGUUUGCUCAAGAGAGAAGUGGACAUUGUAUGUUGAGUUACAAAAGGCAGUAAGUUGGUAAGUUCAAAUAAGGUCAGAGGAUUGGUGUGGCUAGCUAUGAGUGUUUUAAGGUUUGAAGGAUUAAAGAUAAAGUUGGUAUUUCUAAAGAUUUUUGAGUUAAAAAGGGGAAAUUCUUGAAGAAGAAGGUUUUGAGUUAAUAUGGUCGGGAUGAGUGUAAUAAGAAUUCUAAGUGAUGCAAUAAUUGUGGAGUUAAUCUAAGGGUUCAGUUUUGAAGUUUAUAUGAAGUGGUUUCUUGGCAGGGAAGGAAAGCGAAGGUGGUACAUCAAGUAUAGUUGAGCAAAAGGAGGGAGCAAGUGUUAUGAGAAGUCAAGAGGUUUGUUAAAUGCAAGUGAAGACGAGAUGAUGUUAUUCUUUCGUGAAUUUUAGGUGUGAUUAUCAAGGGAGGUUUGUUCAUCUUCAAAUUGUUUCUGGAGUUCUGGAGGUCACGCAGCAGAAGUGAAUCAAGUUUGAUGGUGAAGACAAAGGGUUGUGGAAGUCAGAAUAGUUUAGCAAAGUUAAGCAAAGAAGAGAAGAUGGAUCUUUUAGUAUAAGGGUUUUGGUUAGAAUGGUGUCUGAGAAGAACCGAUGUCAGUAAUAUCUCUAUGGAUGUUUCUUGUUGAAGUUGUGGAGUGCAAAGGGAAGAUGGAAAUUGGAUUAGAACAGUAGUGUCUGGACUUAGUGUAAUCAUAAGGAGAACUACCAGGUUGAAGAAUCUCAGAAGAGAAAUAAGGGACGGGUUGGAAUAGUCCAGUAUAAGUCUUAACAAUCAAGAGUGAUUUUGAGCAUGGUCGUGUUGUGAAGUGGAAAACUAUAUUGAAGGAAAACGGAAUAACAAGACUAUCAGGUAAGAGAAGAGUUAUCUAGGUUUUGCAAGAUCAUGGAAGUUUGAAGAAGGUCUUCAAGGGUGAGCUUUCUGGUUACAAUUGUCAUGAAGGAAUUGUUGUUAUCAGUAAGCGAGUGAGUAAGGAAAUAUGAGGAUCAAAGUAGCGCAGCGGAUGUUAGUAAUCAUGUUGUUGGCAGUAAUAGGUAUGCAUGAAGAGCUUUUAAAAUUGUGGAUUGAUGGUUUGUGAGGUGCGAGUUCUUUGAAAACAGUAUUGGUAUUGUUAUAUGAGAAUGAGUUGGUAGUGUUUGGUAAUCUUCGAGGGUCAGAAGUGAGUCUAGGUAUGGAAGAAAUAAGUAUCAGGCAGAGAAGAUAAGUGAGCAUACGAUUUCAAGUUGCAGGGUCAACUUUAAAGUGAAGAGGUAUUAAUGGACUUGGAACAGGAAGAGUGGGUCAGUGGACGAAGGAGAUGAUUUGAACUAUGGUUUUGAGUUAUAGUGGUAAUCUAUAGGUAAGAAAAUGUCAACUGAUAGUUUGAACAGAGAGAAGAUUCCGGUUCUUGGUUUGAUAAGGAUUGAGUAAGAGUUGGUUGAAGAAUAUGAAGAUUGGGGUCUCUAGUGAAGCUGUAAAGUGAUUUCAUUGGUGUAAUUUAAUAUUAUAACUAAUGGAUUUCUCAAAAUGGUUGAGAAAGCGCCGUUUGGACAAUCCUAGUUUGAGAUGUAUCAAAAUUUGGUUUGAUACUGAUCAAGUUAGUGAUCUCAAGUCGAUGAGGUUACAGAUCUAAAUAUGAUUGCAGGCUAGUGAGUUGAGGAUUGCAUAUGGUCCAGGUCAGCAAAAUAACAAAGUGAAGAUAGAUUGCUUAAAUUGGUCUUGACGUUGCUAAGGAGAAAAGUUAUACUUUGGUAUUGGGGUAGUAUAGUUG
rnacentral:lncRNA from 1 species